rnacentral:misc_RNA from 1 species
GUAGGUGAACCUGCGGAAGGAUCAUUAACGAGAGAGGGGCUUCGCGCCCCAGGGGCUUCGGCCCUACCUCUUCACCCUGUGCGUACCUACCUUUGUUGCUUUGGCGGGCCUCGGGUUCUCCCGACGCCGGCCUGGGGCCAGCCCCGGGCUCGCGCGCGCUCGCCGAAGGUCAUUCCAAACCCUGUCCAUAGGUGUAGUCUGAGUACCUAUCCAAUAACUAAAACUUUCAACAACGGAUCUCUUGGUUCUG